rnacentral:lncRNA from 1 species
UGGUCAUGUCCUUUACUUCAAACUGCUGUAGGAUGGUGAUGGUGACAUCUCAAGAUACAAGAAUGCUGGCUCAGACCUAAAUUCAAAACACGAUUCGAGGUCUUCCAGCCCCCGAUUGGCAGAUGGGAAAGAGCAUCGUGAGAGAAAUGGCCUGAGAGGACGAAGCAGGUAGGAAUUAACUGGAUUUACUAAUUACUCAAAAAUUUUAAGGUACUCAAUUGGCAGGGGUUUGAUUUUAUUUUUUGGAAUGUCUUAAACUCUAAACGGAACAAAACUUAGACCACAUCUUGAUUUGCAUGUACUCCUAAUUUUCUACUGCUUAAUUUUUUGCUCUUAGGCUUUGUGUAAAUGAUAGGAAAAUCUUAUACAGGAUAAUAUUUCCCAAGAUAAAUGAGUGGACAAAAUGGAUGACUCAAGGAUAUGGAUGGAAGUGAGGUCUUGUAAACUAUCUUGGAGCUCAUAGCAAUUUGAACGAGAAUGUUAUGAAGUUGGACAGUUUUGGGUUAAUUUUUUAUGCCAGAAAUGGUUUUCUACGUAAAUAUUCUUAGAACUAGAAAGAGUAAAAAACAUGGAGAUUACUAGAGGAGGAUGAGAGAGUUUUGCUCAUUCGAGGGUAGGUCAAAAUCAUGCAUUUAAUUUCAAACUCUGUGCAUCAAGUCUACUGACAUGAAGAAAUUUUCCCACUUCAAUAAGGAUUUGGACAAAUUGGAGUAAUUUAAAAGUCUGGAGACUAUGAUCGCUUGAAAUUGGGACUAACCUAGAGUCUUGGAUUCUUAUGAAUUGCAACUUCUAAAUAUUAUUUUAAUUUUCUAGAUCAAUUAGGACUUAUGCAAUGUAAAAAGGGAUAAAUUCCAUUCGCUGUAACUAUGCUUUCGCUUUAUGUCAAUUAGGUGACUUUAGGAGUGGCGUGUGGUUUGGCUCAGUUCGAUCUUAAAGGGAAUCUAACCAAACUAAUUACCAAUGUGAAUUUUACAAAUGGAAUUAUUGGUUCCUUAUGUAUCGAACUGGAAAUGGACAAAUUGUUUCCUAUUUCUUUCGGUACUUUAUACUUAAAAUAAUGAAAAUAGAUUAUGAAAUCAAUUGUCAUUCCUAUAAUCUAACAAACAAAAAAUCAAUGAAUAGCAAGUCACUAAUAUAUUCCACAUGCUUUUUUAUUAGAGGUACUAGCUAGAAUAUUUAAAUUAUACAUAUUGUCCAAUGAUUAAAAUAACACCAAGUAUGUAAGUUUAAAAAAUAAAAAUUAAAAAAAUGCCAUUAAUCAAGAAUUACCACUAAUUUUGCUUUCCAGUUUCAAAUUCUCACUAAAUUUGCUUUAAAAUUGCCAAUUCACAAGUGAACAAUGUAAUAUGGAGUCAAAUUUGAAUAAUAAGUUAACUAAAUAUCAAAUCCCAAAUUUUAGUAGAAUUAACAAUCUACCAUAAUAAAAUUUAACUUAAGAACUCUUCAAUGUCUUCAACUUACAAAAUUUUAGUAGAAUUAACAAUCAACUGUAAUAAAAUUAAACUUAAGAAGUCUUCAAUGUCUUCAACUUAGCCCUUGUUUGACACCCAUUAAAAUUCAAAUACAUUUUUUACUCUUUUUUUCAACCAUACAUUUUUCAAUAAAAUAAUAUUACACGUAAAUUAAAAAAAAAAAAAAAUCUUUUUUAAUCACACAUCCUCCCAAAAAUACUAUUUUAUCAUACAUUUUACCAAAUUUUCUCUUUAUAAUGUGUCAAACAAGGGCUUAUCUGCAUCAAUCCUUUUAAAGAGUGAGUCCACCCCUUGCAUUGAUUUUAAAAUAUAAAAAUUAAAUGUUAAUAUAUGAACGAAAAAUUACACAUAAGAAAUUACAAAUAAAAUAUAAUUACGGUCGUACUUUCAACUAGAUCAUCAAUGAAUUUUCACAAUCAUUGAAUAAUCCUUUGUGUGAUUAUGUUUCUUAACAAAUUCUACAUGAUAUUGCAAAAAAAAAAAAAAAAAUUUUUUUUUAUAACUGUCAAUAUUAAAAGAAGCAUAAAUAAAAAGUAAAAACAAGUUUACAAUCUAAUAAACAAAAAUAAAAUAAGAUAUUCUAAUUAUCGAUUUCCAAUUUAAUAAAUUGUUCAUGAUAUUCCAUCUCUUCAAUGCCCACUCCAUAUAGUUGGUCUCCCAAGUGUAGAACAUAGCCAAUUUUGUAUAUAAAUUAAAGCCUCAAUUAUUUUGGGUGUAUUAACUCCUAAAUGAAUCAAAAACUCGCCCUACGGCACUAAAUGUCGACUCCAAAGCAACAAGAGAGAGAGGUUUGCAAGUAGAUCCCUUGCAAUCUUAAACAAAAUUGCAUAUCUUGGACAAUUUAACUUAAAAGUUGAAUUACUAGUUUUCAGUGGGGUCCAUUAGUUAUCUCUGAAUCUCAUCUUUUAACAAAUUAGCAUUGCUACUUCUUCCUUUUUUUUUUUUAAAAAAAAAAAAAUACCCAAAUCAAAAUUGUUGGACUCAUCCCAUGAUCAUCUGCAUAAGCCUCAACCAAAUUGUCAUUAAAGUCAUGAAUACCACCAUCUCCAUCAUUGGAUGCACUAUGCCAUCCUUUAUACCUAUUUUACAACUCGCGAUAAAAUCUUGAUUUCAUUUUUUCGAUUCAACCAAGCUAUUAUCAUAAAAGUGACCAAUACAAUAAACUACUUCCAACUUGUACCGAGGAUUCAAUCACAAUAGCUCUAAUAUCUGUAUUUUGUUCAUUUUAUCAACAAUCCCCCAAUACUUGUCGAAUUCACUCUUCAUGUUUUUUGCCAUAUCACUAAAUAAAAGAUCUUGCUAUGCUAAAUUUCUUCAAAAUUUGUUGAAUAUUACGAACUUCUUAAAAGUACAAAUUCGAGGUCACAUUCAAAGAUUCACUAAAAUUUUAAGUGAUUUUGUGAAAGGUUUCUAGAUACUUAAUAAUUUCCUCAUAUUUUUCCCAAUUGUCUCUUGUAAUUACCUCCUAUUUCCUUCCCAUUCUCACGCUCAUCAAAAUAUAUGCAAUAAAACCCAUAUUCCUUUGCCAUCCGAUCUAAUAGUUUCUCAAACUUAAGUGCACCAUCCAACAUCAAGUAUGUUGCAUUCCACCGAGUAAGCUAAUUUUUGCACUAAUUUCUUCUUUUAUCACAAAUCUUGAAUUUUGCUAAUCUUGAAGGGGAUGAUCCAAAAUAUUUCACGGCAUUCGUAUACUUGCUAUUGCCACGUUAAACUCUUUCAACUCAUCUUUUACCAUUACAUUCAAAAUAUGUGCACACCUUACAUGCGUAAGGGACCCACAUAAUGCCAUCCUAUCAACUUUCCCAUUCUUUAAUAUAUUUUUCGUAUUCAAUAGCCCUAUCAUUUGCACUUGUAUUAACAGUAGUAAUUAUGGAUACAUGCUCUAUUUUCUAGUCAAGCCAACAUUUUUCAGCAAGUUUUACUAUUGUUUUUCCUUUAUGGUUACGAACUAUCGAAACUCAAUAUCCUCUUAUUUAACACCCAGUUUUUGUCAAUAAAAUGGGACGUGAUAACCAUGUAAUUAAUAUAUUUAUUUAUGUCUUGCAAUUUGUGGUAAGACACAACUCUUGCUUAUUAGCAAUAAGCUUACCUUUCAAUAAUUCUCUCUUCACUAUAAAGUUUUAGCACGUCCCUAUUAACUAUUCUACGAGAUGGAAUAUCUGACUUAGGGCAUUCAUAUCCUAUAUAUUUUCUAAACCCAACACCAUCAAUAAAGCUAACGGCAAUUCAUUGACAAUAAUCAUUUUCACCAUUGCCUUCCUACAUGCUUCUUUGUUAAACACCAUAGCACCAAUAUCGGCAAUGCCACCGUUACCACCAUCAUUGUCAUUUAAUCAUCUCGUUAGUACCUUGUCUUUAAUCUAUUUGGUACUCUUGUAUGCUUUGCAAGUGUUUCCACAAGUUAGAAGUUUUAGUUUCAUUGGAAUCAUGAGCAUAAGAUUCCCACAUAGCUACAUUCUGCCCUUUUUCCCUUGUAUCUUAGUAAAAUGUUACCAUACUUUCGAUCUCACAUUCAGGCUUCUUUUAUUUUCAACAAUCUCUGCGUUCAUCUACGUGACAAAUAGUAGAAAAUACGUAAAACAAAAAACUGAUUCUAUACUAUGAAAUCAAUGGUUUUCAUGGCAACAAUCUUCAAACUUCUUAAGUUGUUCAUCCUAAUAGAAUUCAUUUCUUCCAAAGUAUACUUCAUUCUUCAUUUUGUAAUUAUAAAGAUUCAACUGAAAAAGAAUUCUAUGUUGGGAAUUGGAAAAUGGAAAUCAACUUCUAUUGUAAGUCCUUUGUAAAGAAAUAGUUGCAAAUUUUUUCCAAAUUGUAAAGACUCUUUAUCCAAAUUUUAAAGACUCUUUAGCAUGUCAUUAAUCAAAUCAAGCUAUAUCUUCGUACUCGUAAUCUACUGACUGCAAUGGGUUGUGAAAAACAUUCAGAUUGCAAUCUCUUUAGUCUUUAACGCUUAAUAAUCUAACUUAUACUGUAUAUACUUAAAGUUUACACAAUAUAAAUAUUGUCUUCUCAGCAUUAAUAUAGAUUUCAUUAAUUUAAAUAGCAUAAUGUUUCAGCAUCAACUGAUAAUGAAUUUUUGCAUACAAGAUAAAAAUAAAGUCAUAAAUUAUCACGUUGUUCAAUAAAUCCUAUAAUUGAAUUCAGUGAAUGAAGACCAAACAAGGCAACAACCAAACAAUCCAACUCCAAGCUCAAAUUUAGAUUGCUCUAGAUUUACUAAACAUUAUAUAUUUGAUAUAGGAGCAUACAAAUUGAUAAAGAACAAUAAGAAGAAAGGGGAUCAAAAGGAAGAAAUGAGGGCAAGAGAAAACUUUUAUUCAUAUAAUUAUGGUCUGUUUAUAAACAUUGUCCUAAGUCUCUUUAUAUAGAGGACUUCGAAAUUAAAUAAACUUCCUAGUAUCAAUUUGGUAUCGGAGCAAUGAGAAGAAACGGGAUCAAAUAGAAGAAUUGAGGGCAAGAGAGAUAGUUUUAUUCAUAUAAUUCAGGUCUGUUUGUAAACAUUCCCCUAAAUCUGUUUAUAUAGAGAAAGACUUUGAAAUUAAAUAAAUUUCAUAUCUAAACAAACUUGAAAUAAAAGAUAACAAUUGUCAUAAUCAAACUACUAUAAUAUAGAUAAACUGGAAUUCUAUUAAUUCUUAGUUUUUCGUCUUGAAUAGACUUUUAGUUGUUUCCUUGUUGUGUCAAUAUUGCUCCAGUCCAGAAUUCGUCGAUUAAAGUUUAAUUCUUAAAAAAAUCAUACAACAGUUUAUAUAUAAAAAAAUACAUCUAGGUAUUUUAAUUCAAACUCGAUUAUCUUCAAUAAUGUCAAGGUGAUCUCGAGAAGAUCUUGAUUCUUGACAUCAUAUCAAUUUUGAUAAAAUGAGAGAUUUGAGUUCUUGCGAAAGAUCAAAUAGAAGAUAUAUUUUUCCCUUUUGGGGUUUGCACUAAAAUUAUGAAUUUGUAAAGUAUUUAUAGAAUUAUUUAGAACGUGGAUUUUGAUAUUUUGAAUCUUGAUUACGGAGUAGGUUUUCCUUACAAAGGAUAGAGUCAGAAUUGUAGAAGUGUAUCAAAAGGUGGUGUGAGAUAAUUCUUGACCUAGGACUUUAUAGCCUGUUUGGUAUGGAUUAUUUUAAUCUAAGUCAACGUCAAACAAUCAAUAUUAACCACAUCUUUCAUGGUUUCCAUAACUUUUCAACCAUAAAUUUCAAAAACUUCUAUCACGAUCUACUGAAAAAUAUAAUUUUAAUCCCUACCAAACACCCUUUUAAUGUCAAAAUAUGAGGACCUGGUAUAUCUUGGUGCAAUGCACCUAUGUAAUAUAAAUUUUGGGAAAAUCAUCUGUUCUCAUGGCUGCACUGAAAACCAGAUCGAGCCACUUAGUAAAGGAAUAGGAGCCUGGAAAGAUUGUCCACCUCUAGGAAAUUGUACUUCAAUUUUGUUCAAUUGGGUAACUAAAAUUUUUCAUUUCAAUUGGAUAAUUUGAUUUUAAUCAAAUAACUAGGUUUUGAUUUUAUUUAAAUUAAAGUAACUUCGUCCAAUUCCACCAACAAAAAUUGAUGACGUGGCUAUUUAUAAAUUUUGGUCAUCAUACAUAACCGUCAGAUGCUAAUGGGAAAUAUGUACAACUUAAGUGAAAUCAAUGACGACCGUCGUUUUUUAAUUGUCACGUCAUUGAUAUUGUCUGUCCAAGUGAUAGAAUCAUAGAAAUCCAUUUGAAAUCAAAUUAAAGUGUAGUUAUACAAUUAAACAAACAUCAGUAUCUAGGUAUUGACUCCAGAUGAAAAUGUAGUUACCUCAAAUGGAAUUUAUCCAUGUAAAAACCUAGUAAGAAUGAAAUAUGCCUUUGGAGAAUCUAUAUUUCUAAUAUAUAUCAAUUAUCUAGGAGUAACAAAACAUCAUUCCUCUUUUGUUUGCUAAUACAAGGUGAUUGAUGUUUGUUUAGGUACAGCCUUGUAGGUUUCAAAAACUCGACUUUUCCACAUAGUAAUUGCUACUGGAGUAUACAUAUGUGCAAUUGAGUUUUCUUAUCCAAAAUAUUGUUUACUUGCUAGAUAUAUAUGUCGAAAAGUGUGCUAAAUCACCAUUGCUGCAAACAAUCAAGUUCUUUUGGGGCUUUUUGGAGGCUUUCACCUCCAUAAGUAUUUGUUUUUUCCCAAGAAGUUUCGAUUCCAUUGUUAAGUGGUCUCAAGUGAUGUUUUGUCACAUAUAUUAGUUUCGAGUUUUUUGUAUCUUUUCUUUUACCCAUCUUUUUCUUUGUUACUUGAUGAAGAUUGUUGAUUAUUAGCAUUAUAUGAGUUAACAAUCAAUUAAUAAGAUAAUGGGUAUCAUGAGAUUUUAGGUGUUAUAUGUUAAGCCACUUUAUGUAAAAGCUUAAGUUAUUCAUAUUUUGUCUUUGCCUAUCAUGCACACAUUUUGAUAAAUGCAUUUUUUUGUGGGCAGCAUUGCCGCCUCUCGUAUAACGUAGAACCAUUUUUGUCUGAAAGCUUAAGCCAUUAUAAGGGGAUACAUUUAUUUAUUCAAGUUUUAUUUUCAAAGUUAUGGAAUAUAUGUAGUGUCUUGAAAUUAAAAAUGUCAAUUUCCUUGUAAUUCCUCAUGGUUUGAACUCCGUGCAACGGAUAAGCGUAUUAAAGAGCCAUACAAAAGUGCAAUUUUUUUUUCUUCGUUUACUUUGGCUGUAAUGACCCGGACCUCUCGUCCAAGCCGUUAGUUUACGUACUGUCCGCUUUGGGUGGCCACUUAUCCCUCACGACUUUUCUUCGCGUCCCCCAGGAUUCGAACUCUUGACCUCUACAUAAAAGAGAUUUAAGUUGAAUCAUUAUAUUAAUUGGAAAAAAUGCGCGCGUUUUUUUGUAACGACCCGGACCUCUUGCCCAAGCCAUUAGCUUACGUCCUGUCUACUUUGGGUGGGCCUUGCGCCCACUUAUCCCUCACGGCUUUUCUUCGCGUCCCCCAGGAUUCGAACUCUUGAUCUCUACAUAAAAGAGACUUAAGUUGAAUGCUCUAAAACAGACAGGACGUAAGCUAACGGCUUGGGCGAGAGGUCCGAGUCGUUACAUUGACCCAUCUUAUGAAUGAACCAUUGCAAUAUGCAUGUCACACACUUGACACUGUACUCUUAUUAGAGCUUGGAGUGUCAUGCUGAGUAUUAUUGAUAUUAGCUUGCUCCUGCUCUUAUACUGUUAUGAUUUUUAUGACCAGCAUUUUUAUUUUCAUUUAUUUAUUUGUUUAUUUAAUUUUUUGUUUCAUUUAUGUAUUGCUUUCUAUCUUUCCAGUUCAGUUAGAUUAAUGCUGGUUACACUUGUAAGUAACCUCAGACUGGGCUGAGAUGUUUUUUGGUUGACAAAUAUUAUUUGUAGAACAUCUUUAAUAUGCUGACUGGAUGAUUUAGAUUAAUAUUUGUUUCAUUUGCACAGGGUUCCACAAUCUCCUGAUUCAGCUGACCGUUCCCCAUCUCCAAGGUAAGUAUUUUGAUCAUGAUAACCUCUGGUGGUCUCUUCUACUUAAUUUUUUCUUGCUCCUUAAGAAUAAGCUUUUGGUUCCCUUUAGCAGCAGGAGGCCUUCCAGGCCAAUUAGCAAAUCCUUUUCCAAUUCUAAAAGUUAUUCUGAGUGGAUUUCCAUUUGAUGUCAGAGUGUGCUCAUAAUUUUGAUAGAUUGUGAUUUGUUAUCUGGUUUUCAUUUUAGUGAAAGACGGAGGUCAAGAAGUAUAUCUGGAUCACCUCCACCGAGAGGACGGUCCAUUUCCUCUGAGAGGCCACGUCGAUCUUCACCAAGACUGUCUGGGACACCGAGGAGGAGGCAUUCGCCUCGUCUCUCUCCUCCACCAAGGUAUAGGUCAACCCGCACUAGGAGAAGAUCUAUAUCGCAUUCAAGGCACAGGUCUCCUUCUCCCACACGAUAUAGGGUUCGUUCCCCUCUGCGUCGCAGGUCACGAUCUCCUUUGCGACGUAGAUCAAGAUCUCCCGUGUGGCGUAGGUCAAGGACACCAAUACGAAGAUCACCAGUGCAAUACAGGUCCCGUUCACCCGUGCGACGCAGAUCACCACCUGUGCGACGCAGAUCACCACCUGUGAGACGUAGAUCACCGUCUCCUAUCCCACGACGAUCACUGUCUCCUAUGCGACGACGAUCACCUUCCCCCCCUCGUCGUAGGUUGCCAUCCUUUCGUCGUAAGUCACCAUCCCCUCAUCGUAGGUCACCAUCUCCUGUAAGAAGGCAGCACCGACGAUCACCUUCAACUCCACGGCGCCAGUCUAUAUCCCCAGUUCGGCACAGGUUACCAGUGCCCAGUCGAAGAAGAUCUAUAACACCUGCCAAACGAAGGUCUCCUUCAGUGCAAGAAUCUAUUUCCCCCUCUCCCAGUUCCCUUUCACCAGUCAGGAGGCGAUCACUGAAAAGCCAGAAAUCACCUCUACGAUCUCCCAGAGAAGCAAUCAGGUACUUUAGAGCAUGUUAGCUGCUUUCGAUCUUUAAGAAUUUUUUGAUAUUUGUAUUUUAUUUUGCUUUCAAGCGUAUGGUUUGCAUGUGUUUUUGUUACUGUUACAGUUUAGAUGCUUUAGUGCACAUCUGCAGCAAUGAUAAUGGCGGAACAGACAUUUUUUUUUUUUUAAAAUUAGGAUGCCUAGGAAUACGACAAAAACAAAUCAAUUGAGAUGACACACCCCUUUUAAGCAACUGUGAUAUGUCACGACAGUGUAAUGGUUCAUAAAAAAGAGAACAGGACGUUAUCUACAUAAAAGAACACUGAAGAGACAACACAAUGAAAUUAUGUGCUUAAGACUGUUGGCAUCCUUCCACAUAACACCUAAGCACAGCCCAUAUGAACCAUAACUCAACCAAUCUACUCCAGUUAUUAAAAAAAACCUCGUGUCUUCUUUAUAGAAUAAAAGGAACAUGCUUGAAAUACAGACCUCUAAACGAGGAGGUGCCUCAAAUGGCAAGAUCAUUAAUUUGUUUAUCCAAUAUUCUACCUUUUUGCUGGCACUUCAUUCUUAACUGUAGAUAAAUAGUUCAUUGAAUUGCAACAGAACUUUCCUAUAGCUUUAGUCGGAGGGCAGAAAUGUGAGUUAAUUUUUUUUCUGUAAGGUCCAUUUCCUAGUUUGAAAAGAAUUCAUAUUUUUGUUUUUAUUGUUUAAGGGACAGGGAAACAUGCAAUAUAUCAUGAUGAUGUGGCAGAUAAAUGAAAAUAUUUGAGUGUUGGUAACAGCCACACAAGAAAAAAGUGUGCUCUUUGUUUAAUGAGGUUGAUCAUGAUAUUUCCAGUAUUGCCACUCUCCUUUUUCUUCCCUCUGGUUUUAUCUCUGCUUUUUCCUUUGAUCUCUUGGAAGAACUGGGCUUUCAAAUUAGAGAAACUGGGGUAGAGAGCUGAGAUCUCUAUUAUAUAUCUGGUGAAUUUUGCACGAUUUUGUGUUAUGAGAUGACCAUCUGUACUAUUUCGACUUAUUGCUCUAUUUCCAUUCAAACUGGAUUCCCAUCUGCAUGCACUUUCCUAGUUUGCAGUAGCUGUAAAAAUUUUGAUGCAUAAAAUUCCUGCUGCUGGGGAAUAUGCAUAGAAAGCAGGCUUACUUGAUCUUUGAUCUCUCUAAACUCUAAUCCAAACUCUGAACUGUAGGCCUCUUGUUUCUUUGAGAUCACCGCAAAGGGACAUGCUGGAUCGAAAUGACCAACGUGGAAGAGUGCUGGAUCCGUCUCCUCUGCACAAGUCUCCAUCUGCUUCCGAAGUGUCUGGGGAAGGAAAUCAUAUUGAACGGCAGAGGUUCAAACCUCUAUCUAUAUCUACCUUUUGGUUUUUUUAUCACAUUUUCUUGAGGUGUAACAUUGUAAGUCACAUUUUAUUUGGAUAGGUCUAGUAGUCCUCAUCGUAGUCCUUAUCAAAGAAGGGAAAGGAUCAUUCUUCCUGAGAGUCCAAACCCUUUACCGAAAGGAAUGGGAUCCAAACCUCAUCCUGAUAGUUCUGGGACAAGUGCUGAUGACAGGUAAACCUUGUAUGCUAGGUUUUGUUUGAAAAGUUCAUUGUUCUCGAACGUGGUAUUUUUUACUCUAAAUUUCUGAGUUGUGCAUGGUUUUAUUUUUUAUUUAGAGAGAUUGGAAAGCUUAAACAUAGAUCUUUAGAGAAAAAUUCUCCAUCACAUGAUCGGCAUAAAGAUUCUUUUGGCUUUGAUGAUCAUGUGAAGUCAAGAAAUCCUCGUCAACUGCCAGACAGGUUUGCUGUUGCUGUGGUACAUUCUGUCUCAGUAGUCUAUAGUUUGUGUAUAACUGAUCUAAUUUUUGUAUUUUUUGUUUUUAUUUGAAUAAACCAGUGAAAAGUUAGCUGAAAGAGUGGAUCACAUAAUAAAUCCCGAGAAACAAGAAUCAUUAGUGAUUCGUAAAAGCGCCAUAUUAAGAGAGGAAGGAAAGGGAUCAUAUGUUGACAAUGAUUACAGAGCUGUUGAUAAGAAUACAUCUGUGUAUGACGAUACCAAGGGCAGUGGUCGACAUUCAGAACUUGAAGUCUUGCCUAAUUUGUCUGGGGCAGACAAGCUGAAUGCUCGAAGUCGUUCAGUGGGAUUCAACUCUGAGGAAACUGACAGGCAUAAAACUAAAAUUAAAGAAAAGGGAAAGCACAAGAGGUCAGAGAGACAAGAGGUGGAAUCAGAUGACUAUUCUAGCUAUGAUUCUUAUGAGAAGAGGAAGGAGGCUAAGAGGAGGAAAAAAGAGGAGAAGAAAUUGAAAAAGGAGGAGAGGCAUCGACGGCGGGAGGAACGGCGCCGCAGAAAAAAGGAAAAGCAUGCAGAGAAGCUGAAAUUGAAGUCGCUUGACGCUGGUAGUCCAUCUUUAGAUAUUGAGAUUGAUCAUGAUCGUCAUGCUUCUUAUGAUGACGGUUAUAGAAGGCGGGAAACGCAUACAAGUGACAUGGAGGAAACAGAAUCUGAGCAGAAAAAGCUUGAGAUAGAGUUGAGGGAAAAGGCUCUUGAGUCGCUUCGAGCAAAGAAGGGCGCUCAGAAUUAAAUUUUUUUGCUGCUCUAGAAUAUUUCACUUUUAUUUUCUGUUAUAUGAUCCUGUUAUGAGUUCCUGUUUCUGUCCUAGACCUAUUCUGUUUCGGAUGAAUGUAUUCUUGGUGGCUAUUUAAUGUAAUGUGUCUUUACUGCUGGCAGCUGAAUGGAUAAAUGAGGAUUUCCUGAGCUAGUGUCUUGAGUGCAACUUUAUGCUGACUUUCCUGCUAAAUUUGCUGGUAAUAUUUGUCUUCCCUUCACUGGGAAUAUGUUUAUGUUAUAUUUACACGACACAAAAGUGUGCACGUGAAUCAUCUUGUUGCUUGGGUGGUGCUUUCCAUCUUUUACUAUUUUGUGUCUACUAUACUUACAUUUUGGUAUUUGCUUGUCUUCUGUGAGUUGGAAUUUCAAUUAAGCUUGCAGGUAAGGAGUGCCUAACCUUUUAUUCUUUGGAAUGAUUAUGUGCAUCCUGAAGGUCUUGACAGUUAUUUCCCUAAAUAACUUUGUUACUAAAAUGACUUUCUGGUUAAUUGAUAGAUGAGAAUAAUUGUCAACUUGACGACUUCGUUGAGCAGAUCUUGUGCAACUCCAUAUUUUAGACCUCCAUACAGGUGAAGUAUUUUACUCUUAGUUGGUUUCUCUUAAAUAAUUAUUUACUUGGUUGAGAUUUGAAUUUCGAAUUCUGUCAGAGUUCUAAUUCUACCUCUGUAUCGUUGGCAGCCUGAGAGUUAUUCCCAAGAAUUUGAUUUUCUAUUCUACAUGAUACCUUUAAGUUCCUGUUCAUCCUGUUUCCAUGUUGAUUGCAGCUGGUAAUCAAUACUGGUGCAUAAUUGUGGUGCGAUUUUGUAUGUGAACACUUAUGGUUUAAUUGUUCAACAAGGUCAUUAACUGUUUGAUUUUCUUUGUUCGUGUUCUGCCCGCUAUUUCUUUUGUUCAAUUAUUGUUAUUUUUUUUUAUUAAUAUUAUAUAUGUUGGUGGUGGUGGUGGGGUGGAUCCUUGUGCUUCAUGUUUGUCCAUAUUGAUUCACUCUGUAGUGGGGGGCAUGCAAUGUUGACACAUGAAUUUCAUAUGAUGACUCUGUUAAUAAUCAUUCAUAUACUGAUUAUAUCUUUGCUAAAUAUGAUUUAACAUUUAUUCACAUUCCUAUGCCUUUUUUCUGGAAAGAUGUACGUUCUACUGGUUAUUGGGUGGAUGGAGAAAUGAUCGCAGCUAAGGAUUCAGUUUUUGUUAAUUUCUGACUGUUGAGGCAUUUGACAUUUUAGCUGCGUCAUAUAUCUACUCUUCUCUUCUCCCUCGUAGAUUUGUAACUUUGCAACUCAAUCUAGGAUUUGCUUCCAAGCUUUUGACAUCUGUGAAAAAACAUGUACCUGUUUCGGGGCAUUAUCUCUGCAUAUAAACGUGGUUGGUGAAAAAAUUGUGAUUCAGCUAAUAUAUGUUUGAAUUCUAUCCAUUACAGGCGUUACCGUUGCAUAUUAACGUACCUGUUUCCAAGCAUGAAUAAAAGGGUCGAGUUAGGUAGUUUGGGAGUCAAAACAGCUUAAAAUUGUCACUUUUGUCAUGACUAGGAUUUGUGGAGUCAACUUUCAAGCUCUGAUGCUCGAACUCUUCGAACUGGUUGGAGUACCCGUGUCAGACACGACAUGGGUAUGGGUAUGGGUAUGGGUAUGAGUAUGAGAUGUGUCAGAUCCUCCAAGUUUCAACUAGAUACUUUGCCCUUUUCGCUUCUUCUUUCGUUUUUCUUUUCCUUCUCUUAUCGUUUCUAUUCUCUAUAAACCUAGUGCCACCUUCGAGAGGGUGGAAAAAGGUGACGGCACUAGAUUUUUCCUUUCCCUUUUCUUUUCUUCUUCUUUUUUUUUUCCCCUUCUUUCCCUCUCUG